CGGUCCCGGUGCAGGACCUCUGUCUGCGAGAACCGGGCGAGGGAGAAACAGGAAGGGAGGUUUUUGCGGGUCAGCGUAAGCCAAGCGCUUUCCAGAGUUUGGCGUGGGAGGGAGGAGAGUUUCUUUAAUCAAAAUGAAACCCAUCUCUGAUUUCAUUUUAAGCUGUGCUAGAAUAUUUCAUUCAACCUGAUACAAAGAGCUGCUUUUCAUCGUGGCUUUUAAUUAAUUCCGUGAUCCUUUAAAAGUUCAUUAGGCUAAUUUGAAAGGAAAAAUGUUUCUCUCGGAACUGGAAGUCAAAGCACUUUCAUGAUCGUUGCUGUCUCUAAAGUGUUGCUUAAAAGCAUUAGAUACAUUUCUGCCUUUCAAGAAACCCAGGUUAAUUCCUGCUUUCACAGAGACCGUAAAUGCCUUGGGAGUUAAACCUAUGGAUUGAUUUAGAAGAAAGGCCUUGUUUCUUAGAAAGUGAGCGCUGCUGUCUGUGAUCCUGGGAUGAAAGGGGCGAUGGUCUCAUCUCAGACCUUUCCUACUCCGGAAAAAAUUCAGGGCGCUCUGAUGCUCGCAAAGGGAACCUGAGCCCAUCUCCAGAUGAGGCACCGAUGACUUUAAUCAGCGGGGACAUUCCUCCGCUGGCUCCGAGAAGCCCAGCGACGGCGGCUCUCCCGCGUGACGCGUGAGCUCCAGCAGCGUCUCUGCUCCGACAGAACCUGCAGCUGCUCCUCGUCGAUGCUCAGCAGGAGGAUGCAGCUGCCUCAGCUGACGCCGCCGUAGGACACGGGAUGCAGGCACCGGUGAGAGAUUUCCUGCCGAAGGGAGGAGAGCCGAACCUCCAGCAAACAGCUUUUGUUGUCUUGUACUACUUUGCUGCUGCAACAGAGUAAGAGCGUGCUACGAGGCGCGAUGGAGCGCCUUUGGUGCAAUAGCCCAAGGGCUGAAUCUCUGCUCGCUCCAGGUUCAAACACUGAUGGUUCUGCAAGCAGCAUCCUGUGCAAAUACCCAGAAUCAUUUGAUAAUUUGCCAGAUUUUCAUUUCUUCUCAGUGUGUCACAUUUUUCAGUCAACUAACAAAAAAAACCCAUAAAACAAUAUCAGGCUAUAAAAUAUAUACAUGUUUACAUAAUAUUAUGUCCAAUAAAUUCCCCUAUGAGCUCCCAUGGGUUUCCCAGAGCCAUCUGGGCUCCGCUGAGCUCUCUGCAUUUCUAAAUAUAGAGGCAAAAUAUAUUUUUUAAAGAAAAGUGUUAAAAAUUGCAAGUGACUGCUAUAACUGCACUGCUGAAAUGAUGGCCCUGGAGGCAGAUGCUUUGCCGCUCCUCUUGUGCUGUCCCUCUGCACACAAAAAUCAUUAAUGCCAGUAUGAAGGAGACCUUUUAGACUUUUAGAGCCUUAAAAGAGGAAACAGCUCAUCUGCUGACCGUUGGCAGACCUCGGGCAUACCAAGAGUUUGCUGGAAGAGCAACCUGCUGAUAGAGGGAUGGCUGCUACAUUUAUCAUCCUAGGAUACCGCAAGGUUGGCUCCGGCUGUGUCUCAGAUGUUGUGGCCUCUGGUCGUGCAGCCCUUUCUCCGUGAGACGCCUUCCCAGGAAACCACAAAGCCUCCGUGCUCUGGAGGUCACAUCCAUUGCUGGGUCUCUAGCCACAGGCCAGCUGAAGAGGAAAAUCUCACGCAAGUGGUUUCAACCCAAGAAAGAAGACAAGGGCAGCUUCACAGACAGUGGUUCUUGCUCUAUCGUCGUACAGAUACGACUAAACUGCAGCUUGGUCCUGGCAGCAGUUUACCUGAAUGAGGGCCCGUGUCGCAGAGGACGUUGCAGUCUGCACUCACGCGCUGCCGUUACAGGUGCUGUGGGCUCAUGAACACCAUGAACUCUGCUGGGUCCCUUCGUGGAGUUACAUACAUACAAAGUUCAGUUUGUAACUGGAUUGCCAGGUAUUGACUCAACUUUAUAUCGCGCAAAAAGUUUCACUGGGACGCUUAGAAAGCAGGCGCUGGAGCAGCUGACUGCUGCCUUGGACAUCCCUUUUCCAACGUGGUGCUGAAAGGAGAACAGAUGGUCAAGAUGCCACAGAGACAGUUUCUAAGUAAAUAACUUGCUGCUUCAUGCAACCUACCAUCAGCCUCACCACUAGCUGCCCCAGAUGGCAGGAGAGUCAAAGACGGUACCUGGGUUGCGAGAGGAAACGCGCCGCUGCAUGAAUAAUAGAAACAGAGCGACUGCAGGAUGGCGCUAACGACGGAAAAGACCUGCCGAAGAAGCCGCCUGCCGUCAGUCUCUCCAGACACAGGAUUAUUUUCCGCGAGGGCCGCCGCAGGAGGUAGGGUAGGAGGCUCAGUGAACUGUGUCAGAGCAGUGAAGCAGAACUCACGCUCCCACGUACCCUGGUUUUCUUUUGCUGAAUCCUGAUUGUGGGUUAAAAACCAAAAGGUUAAAAGCGUUUAAUU